GACGAACGCUGGGGGCGUGCCUAAUACAUGCAAGUAGAACGCUGAAGAGAGGAGCUUGCUCUUCUUGGAUGAGUUGCGAACGGGUGAGUAACGCGUAGGUAACCUGCCUUGUAGCGGGGGAUAACUAUUGGAAACGAUAGCUAAUACCGCAUAACAAUGGAUGACACAUGUCAUUUAUUUGAAAGGGGCAAUUGCUCCACUACAAGAUGGACCUGCGUUGUAUUAGCUAGUAGGUGAGGUAAUGGCUCACCUAGGCGACGAUACAUAGCCGACCUGAGAGGGUGAUCGGCCACACUGGGACUGAGACACGGCCCAGACUCCUACGGGAGGCAGCAGUGGGGAAUCUUCGGCAAUGGGGGCAACCCUGACCGAGCAACGCCGCGUGAGUGAAGAAGGUUUUCGGAUCGUAAAGCUCUGUUGUAAGUCAAGAACGGGUGUGAGAGUGGAAAGUUCACACUGUGACGGUAGCUUACCAGAAAGGGACGGCUAACUACGUG
rnacentral:rRNA from 1 species